GAUGAACGCUGGCGGCGUGCUUAACACAUGCGAGUCGAACGAAGCACUUCUUUUGAUUUCCUUCGGGACUGAUUCUUUUGUGACUGAGUGGCGGACGGGUGAGUAACGCGUGGGUAACCUGACUUGUACAGGGGGAUAACAGUUGGAAACGGCUGCUAAUACCGCAUAAGCGCACAGCAUCGCAUGAUGCAGUGUGAAAAGCUCCGGUGGUAUAAGAUGGACUCGCGUUGGAUUAGCUAGUUGGUGAGGUAACGGCCCACCAAGGCGACGAUCCAUAGCCGACCUGGGAAGCUGACCGACCACAAUGGGACUGAGACACGGCCUACACUCCUACGGGGCGGAGCAGUGGGGAAUAUUGCGCAAGGAGCGCAGACCUGAUGCAGCGACGCGGCGGGUGCGAAGAAGUAUUUCGGAAUGUACAGCUCUAUCAGCAGGGAAGAUAAUGACGGUACCUGACAAAGAAGCACCGGCUAACUACGUG
rnacentral:rRNA from 1 species